rnacentral:snRNA from 1 species
GGAUGUGAGGGGGAUCUGGCUGAAACAUCUGUCACCCCCUUGAUCAACAAGGUUGAUUCGGCUGAUCUGUCUGGCUAGGAAGGUGUCCCCUUCUUCCCUCACUGCUCCAUGUGCGUCCCUCCCACGCUCAUUAAAGAGGACUUUCCCUGAACAGAGACAGACUGGUCUUCGGUUGAGGGUAUUCAAGUAGCUGCGCUCCUUUACUAGAACCUCCAAACAAGCUCUCAAGAAAACUACAGACUGAUAUCUCCGAUGAACAUAGAUACUAAAAUAUUGAAUAAAAUUCUAAUCAAUUGGAUACAGAAAUAUAUU